GACGAACGCUGGCGGCGUGCCUAAUACAUGCAAGUAGGACGCAGUUGCGAACGGGUGAGAAACGCGCAGGUAACUGCCUAUUAGAGGGGGAUAACUAUUGGAAACGAUAGCUAAUACCGCAUACUAGCAGACGGACCUGCAUUGUAUUAGCUAGUAGGUAGGGUAAUGGCCGACCUAGGCGACGAUACAUAGCCGACCUGAGAGGGUGAUCGGCCACACUGGGACUGAGACACGGCCCAGACUCCGACGGGAGGCAGCAGUAGGGAAUCUUCGGCAAUGGGGGGAACUCUGACCGAGCAACGCCGCGUGAGUGAAGAAGGUUUUCGGAUCGUAAAGCUCUGUUGUUAAGGAAGCGGUACUUAACCAGAAAGGGACGGCUAACUACGUGCCAGCAGCCGCGGUAAUUC
rnacentral:rRNA from 1 species